AUGCAAAAAAUAAAUGAUUGGGAAAGGAACAUAACUUUUAUUUUAGGAUUAUGGCAUCUUGAACCAUGUAAGAGGUAUCAAUUUAUCAUUCCCUACCAUAGGGAAACUAUAUGUCUAGUCUAUACUCAUACACCAGAAGUGUUUGGAAUUCAUUCUAAGACUUUCUGUGGUUGGUUAUUAAUUUGGAUGAUUGUUUGCAUUGAAAAGUCUGAUACUUUAGUGCGUGUUUGGAUUGGUUUUUACUACUCACGGAAUUAA